GAGGGUAUAGCUCAGUGUUAGAGCAUUUUCUUAGCAUACACGAGGUCCUGGGCUCAAUCCCCAGUACCUCCA
rnacentral:tRNA from 1 species